rnacentral:rRNA from 1 species
AUUGAACGCUGGCGGCAGGCCUAACACAUGCAAGUCGAGCGGAUGAAGGGAGCUUGCUCCUGGAUUCAGCGGCGGACGGGUGAGUAAUGCCUAGGAAUCUGCCUGGUAGUGGGGGAUAACGUCCGGAAACGGGCGCUAAUACCGCAUACGUCCUGAGGGAGAAAGUGGGGGAUCUUCGGACCUCACGCUAUCAGAUGAGCCUAGGUCGGAUUAGCUAGUUGGUGGGGUAAAGGCCCACCAAGGCGACGAUCCGUAACUGGUCUGAGAGGAUGAUCAGUCACACUGGAACUGAGACACGGUCCAGACUCCUACGGGAGGCAGCAGUGGGGAAUAUAGGACAAUGGGCGAAAGCCUGAUCCAGCCAUGCCGCGUGUGUGAAGAAGGUCUUCGGAUUGUAAAGCACUUUAAGUUGGGAGGAAGGGCAGUAAGUUAAUACCUUGCUGUUUUGACGUUACCAACAGAAUAAGCACCGGCUAACUUCGUG